GAACGCUAGCUACAGGCUUAACACAUGCAAGUCGAGGGCAGCAUGAACAAGCUUGCUUUGUUUGAUGGCGACCGGCGCACGGGUGCGUAACACGUAUCCAAUCUGCCCGCGGCUCGGGGAUAGCCCAUCGAAAGAUGGAUUAAUACCCGAUGGCGUGGUCACUCCGCAUGGAGUUUUCCACUAAAAGGGUUUUUCCGGCCGCGGAUGAGGAUGCGUAUGAUUAGCUAGUUGGUGAGGUAACGGCUCACCAAGGCGACGAUCAGUAGGGGUUCUGAGAGGAAGGUCCCCCACAUUGGAACUGAGACACGGUCCAAACUCCUACGGGAGGCAGCAGUGAGGAAUAUUGGUCAAUGGACGGAAGUCUGAACCAGCCAAGUCGCGUGAAGGAUGAAGGUUCUAUGGAUUGUAAACCUCUUUUGUCGGGGAGCAAGGACUCUACGCGUAGAGUUGUGAGAGUACCCGAAGAAAAAGCAUCGGCUAACUCCGUG
rnacentral:rRNA from 1 species